UGCAUCUGAUACUGGCAAGCUUGAGUCUCGUAGAGGGGGGUAGAAUUCCAGGUGUAGCGGUGAAAUGCGUAGAGAUCUGGAGGAAUACCGGUGGCGAAGGCGUCCCCCUGGACGAAGACUGACGCUCAGGUGCGAAAGCGUGGGGAGCAAACAGGAUUAGAUACCCUGGUAGUCCACGCCGUAAACGAUGUCGACUUGGAGGUUGUGCCCUUGAGGCGUGGCUUCCGGAGCUAACGCGUUAAGUCGACCGCCUGGGGAGUACGGCCGCAAGGUUAAAACUCAAAUGAAUUGACGGGGGCCCGCACAAGCGGUGGAGCAUGUGGUUUAAUUCGAUGCAACGCGAAGAACCUUACCUGGUCUUGACAUCCACGGAAGUUUUCAGAGAUGAGAAUGUGCCUUCGGGAACCGUGAGACAGGUGCUGCAUGGCUGUCGUCAGCUCGUGUUGUGAAAUGUUGGGUUAAGUCCCGCAACGAGCGCAACCCUUAUCCUUUGUUGCCAGCGGUCCGGCCGGGAACUCAAAGGAGACUGCCAGUGAUAAACUGGAGGAAGGUGGGGAUGACGUCAAGUCAUCAUGGCCCUUACGACCAGGGCUACACACGUGCUACAAUGGCGCAUACAAAGAGAAGCGACCUCGCGAGAGCAAGCGGACCUCAUAAAGUGCGUCGUAGUCCGGAUUGGAGUCUGCAACUCGACUCCAUGAAGUCGGAAUCGCUAGUAAUCGUGGAUCAGAAUGCCACGGUGAAUACGUUCCCGGGCCUUGUACACACCGCCCGUCACACCAUGGGAGUGGGUUGCAAAAGAAGUAGGUAGCUUAACCUUCGGGAGGGCGCUUACCACUUUGUGAUUCAUGACUGGGGUGAAGUCGUAACAAGGUAACCGUAGGGGAACCUGCGGUUGGAUCACCUCCUUA
rnacentral:rRNA from 1 species